UGGGAGGGAGAUGGAGGGGCAGC
rnacentral:miRNA from 1 species